AAUGGGAUUCGAACCCAUGCCCUUUCGGACUAGUACCUGAAACUAGCGCCUUAGACCAACUCGGCCAUCUUGACAACCGUGACACUUGUUUUGGAUAUUAUUUUAAUAUUAUUAUAAGUGACACAUCAUUCUCGUUCCGUCGACUCUCUUGAUUCUUGAGACACGACGGAUAGUUAGAUUCGGCGGUUAGCGUAGUGGGGCGACGCCGAGAUGACGGACGGCUGGAUUUGGGCCUGUUUGAAGCCAUGCAAUAAAGCCCCAGCUAUCUCCAUCUCUCUGGCGGAGCAGGAGCUGAGACCUUUUUGUAUUGUCUCUGCUCAAUCUGCGAUGGUUUGUCUCGGGUGGUUAAUGCCCGUCCCUGGAGUUUCAAACACAGUCCUUGAACUUGAAGCUGCCGUCCCUUAUUCCAGAAUUUCCGCGAUACAAUUUCUGGGCACUCAGGGUAACGACUGUGCUUGGUGAUGUAAGAACCUGCGUUUGGAUAUGGAUACAGAAGCAGACAAGGUAAAUGGAGGUAACACAACCCAGUUAUUACUUGUGCGACUUUGUAACAAAGACAUUUUUUAAUAGGCUUACAAGAUCUUGGAGCAGGUUUUACACGUCCAAAACUUGGGGAUAACGGGUAUUGUUUCUCAUGAUUUUCAAUUCAUUUCCUCUUCACAUAUGCUGUUUCUGUAAAUUGUGUUGUUCUACUGAGAGAUUGUAUGAUUUGGAGUCCUUACUUCGUUUAUUUUAAUGUUUGAACUGUACUCCCUUGUUUUUGAUCUGUAGUGGUGUAAGGUAAGAGCAUUGCUUGCUCUUUGUUGGCCUAAAUAUAUGGCCUAUCUGAUUAUCUUUUAUCAAGGGCUCUAGUCAUAUAAGUAGUUAUUUUUAGUACAAUUCCCAAUUACAUCUUAUCAAGGGUUGGUCAUUCAUAAAUGGAUAAAAUGUAAUUACAACAUCUCUUCUCAAUAAAGGCUAACUUGUUUCAUUUUAGUUAAUUUAUCUUGGAAUGUGCUUCCAUUGUCAUUGUAAGAUUUUCAUCUAAUCAACAUAACCUAGUGAAUCUGUAGUUUGAAAUAGUGGCAAAUUUAUUGUCAAUUGUCUUGGUUAUGGAUUGAUCUUCAUUUUUCUCAUGAGAACCAAAUAGCUAUCAUUAUGUACCAUAAUCUGUGUAACAUUUCUCUCUGAAUGGGAUUUGAAGAGGUAGUCUGGUAAUUCCAAGACUUCAUAUUGGAAUUGGAUUCUAGCAUUCAUAUCUCUAAUCCUGCAACAGAAAUUGCCAUUGCUUCUAUUAAAUAAGAAUUCCUUUGCAUUUUUUCCUUUUUGAUGAUGAUGUUUCGUAGAUCUACCUCUCAAAGUUUGGUUGCAUAUUCAUAUUAAUUGGUGCCCAAUCAGAACUCAUUGUACAAACAUAAUUAUUUUUUAUCUCAAGUAUAAUGAGAUUGUCUUUGGUCACUAAAGUGAUUAACUGUCCAUAGGCAUUUCUCCUCCAUUUAUUCUUUUUCUCAACCUUUUUUUAUUCAAGACUCUUGGCACAAGUUUCUUGAUUUGGUAUUUAUUUGGCAAAACCUCAGCCUUCAUGGUACUGCUUAGAGAGUGUACCAUGGGCAUGAUGGAUGGUACCAUAAGGAUAGUAAUUGGAGAGCACCAUGGUACUGCUUAGAGAGUUAAAUCUUGAUUAUCAAAGUAAGUCAAGAGCCAUAAAAGGCUUGACCAUAACAGAGCACUGACUACUCAACUUCAGACUCAGUAACAAUGAUCAGAUGUAAGCAAGACCAAACAUCAUAACUAUUGAAGUUUGAAGAAAAUAAGCCAACAAAAUCAUGAAAAUGACUGAAGAUGGGCCAAAACAUCAUCAGAACUUCUUUAUCCUCCAUCAAGUUUUAUUAUAGUUAUGUUUCCGAAAUUCAAUGGUUGCAGAUUUGUAAUGCAAAACAAUAAUAAAAUGGUACUUUGUACUACUUGUAUGAGAAACCUUCUUAGUGUCAGUGUCUCAUACCAGAUAAUAGAUGUAUCUUCAGAACCUUUUGGUUCUCUUAAUGGAAAAUUAGGUCAUUUUAGUUGGAGCAUCUCUCAUCUCUACCGGAAAUUUCCAAAAUAUCAACACUUAUUCUCUCUCUCUCUCUCUCUCUCUCUCUCCGUCUCAAUAUUUGAUCAGUAAUACUUGGUAUAUAUCGGUGAAAUGUGUGACACAGGAGUUCUUUUAAAAGUGAAAAGACAAUUUCUGGAGCCCCUUGACAAUUUUGGAAAUAUUCUGGGCAUUGGUUUUUACCACCUCUAAGACUAAGUGAAAGAUUCUGUCAGUCUGGAGGAGUUGCAGGACAUGCUUAUCUCAAUACCAGCAGAGAGGUUUUGCAUAAAAAGGUAGGGAAUAUGAUCUCUCACUGGAAAAUUCAUUCAUCCUCAUCCAUUAUGGACGUCCCAGUGAUUCAUGCAUGCAAGACAGUAAGGCAGAGGAUGUUCCAAAGUGAGCAUGAGGACAAAAAAUGCAAAUAUGAUGCCAUUGCUCAUUGCUCCUUAUUCUCUAUUGCCAUCUUCUCUGGUAAUAUGAUAAAUUCACAAGUUUUUGGCCACUUAUAGAUGAUGAUUUUGGUUCUGAGAGAAUGAUGGGUGCACAACAUUGCUAGCUGAACAGGUUGAACCUAAAGAGAAACUGAGGAAGCACUGUGGCGCAACUGCUCAAGUUGUUAGGUUCAACGUUCAACCUGCUCAACAGAUGGGGUUGCCCCAAUACGUGUUGUUUAUUGAGCUGGGUGUGAGUAGUAACUAACUGUUAGUCUAGUACCACAUACAUCAGUAGCUGGUACAACCCCUUUUAACAGAACGUAUCAGGCAUCUUUUGGCGGAUUUAAAUGGCCUCUCUAAUCCGUGACAUUUCUAGAUGGUUGAAAAGCUGUUUCAAUUUACCUUCUCCUCACCUUCUUUUUUGUAUUUUUUUCCUAAGAAAAUAUGCCGUAUCCCCAGUUUACCAAGUAAAAGAUGAUUUAAUACUGAAAUUCAAAUGGA